rnacentral:rRNA from 1 species
GACGAACGCUGGCGGCGUGCCUAACACAUGCAAGUCAACUUGACUGAAGGAGCAAUCUGACAGUAGAGUGGCGCAAGGGUGCGUAACGCGUAAGUAACUUGCCCAAGGUAAGGAAUAACGUCGAGAAAUCGGCGCUAAUACCUCAUAAUGCAGCGGAUCCGCAUGGAUAUGUUGUUAAAGGUUUACCGCCUUGGGAUAGGCUUGCGUCUGAUUAGCUAGUUGGUGUGGUAAACGGCACACCAAGGCUACGAUCAGUAACUGGUCUGAGAGGAUGAUCAGUCACACUGGAACUGAGACACGGUCCAGACUCCUACGGGAGGCAGCAGUGAGGAAUAUUGGGCAAUGCUCGAAAGAGUGACCCAGCAACGCCGCGUGGAGGAUGGAGGUAUUCUAUAUCGUAAAACUCCUGUGAGAGCAGACGAAAGACAGAUUAUUAAUCUGGAUGACUGUAUGCUCAGAGG